AUCGGNAUGAGUACACUUUAAAUCCUUUAACGAGUAUCCAUUGGAGGGCAAGUCUGGUGCCAGCAGCCGCGGUAAUUCCAGCUCCAAUAGCGUAUAUUAAAGUUGUUGCGGUUAAAAAGCUCGUAGUUGGACUUGUGUCCCACGCUGUCGGUUCACCGCCCGUCGGUGUUAACUGACAUGUCUUGUGGGACGUCCUGUCGGUGGUGGCGAGUCAAAGGGCAGCGCGCCCGCGGUUCUCCGUGGGUCCGCUUGCUUCGGAGACGGACCCCGAUCAAAUCCCACCGUGGUGCUCUUCAUCGAGUGUCGAGGUGGGCCGUCACGUUUACUUUGAACAAAUUAGAGUGCUUAAAGCAGGCCUGACGCGCCUGAAUACUGAGUGCAUGGAAUAAUGGAAUAGGACCUCGGUUCUAUUUUGUUGGUUUUCGGAACCCGAGGUAAUGAUUAAUAGGGACAGUCGGGGGCAUUCGUAUUGCGACGUUAGAGGUGAAAUUCUUGGAUCGUCGCAAGACGGACCGAAGCGAAAGCAUUUGCCAAGUAUGUUUUCAUUAAUCAAGAACGAAAGUUAGAGGUUCGAAGGCGAUCAGAUACCGCCCUAGUUCUAACCAUAAACGAUGCCAGCUAGCGAUCCGCCGCAGUUCCUCCGAUGACUCGGCGGGCAGCUCCCGGGAAACCAAAGCUUUUGGGUUCCGGGGGAAGUAUGGUUGCAAAGCUGAAACUUAAAGGAAUUGACGGAAGGGCACCACCAGGAGUGGAGCCUGCGGCUUAAUUUGACUCAACACGGGAAACCUCACCAGGCCCGGACACUGG
rnacentral:rRNA from 1 species